rnacentral:tRNA from 1 species
GGGCAUCUAGCUCAGUUGGUAGAGGGCUUGCCUCGAAUGCACAAAGCCCUGGGUUCAAUCCCCAGCAACCCCC